GUUUGGAGUUGGACCCCAACGCACACAAUGAAUCCCUGUUCACUUUUCCUGAAGAUUAUCCUCCGCAUACCAGCACUGCUGAAACUCAAUGCAAGCAAGAAGCAGCUUCUCAUCUGGAUCCAGUGCACUGGAUAUUCCACAUUUUAUUUGAUAUAGCAUCAUUUUCAUAACCUGCUAGCAUUGAGCAACUGCCUGUGUAAGAAGUGCACGCAGGAUGAAACAAGCUGACCAUCAUCUGUAUCGCUCCAUCACUUAAAGGCUUGAAUAUUUGGUCUCAAGUCACCACCACAAUGCAGUUUGUGCUUGAUGGCUUCUUAACACAGAGAUUUGACAUGACCUACGUGGAAGACUUCAAAUUUGAGGAAUGUCAGAAGCCCAUUCUAACUCCCAGAGGCUGUAAGAGUGUGCAGGAGAUUAAGGAACUUUGGGUGUUGUGUGCUGCCCUGCCUGAAGUGCCCUGCUGUGCUGUAGCCUUAAGCUCUCCCUCAUGCUCCUUCAUUCUCUGCCAAACAAGUAAACUCUCUCUUUCUCAUCUCAUCUGUAAAGCCAGGCAUUUCAAAGUUGCAUGUAAUUAUCUGACCUCCCAGAUGAGCGUAUUCAUUUGCGUGACCUGUAAUUGA
ensembl:lncRNA